AUUGAACGCUGGCGGCAUGCCUUACACAUGCAAGUCGAACGGCAUCGCGGGAAAGCUUGCUUUCCUGGCGGCGAGUGGCGAACGGGUGAGUAACACAUCGGAACGUACCGGCUAGUGGGGGAUAACCCGUCGAAAGACGGGCUAAUACCGCAUACGCUCUUCGGAGGAAAGCAGGGGACCUUUGGGCCUUGCGCUAGCCGAGCGGCCGAUGUCCGAUUGGCUAGUUGGUGGGGUAAAGGCCUCCCAAGGCGACGAGCGGUAGCGGGUCUGAGAGGACGAUCCGCCACACUGGGACGGAGACACGGCCCAUGCUCCUACGGGAGGCAGCAGUGGGGAAUCUUGGACAAUGGGGGCAACCCUGAUCCAGCAAUGCCGCGUGGGUGAAGAAGGCCUUCGGGUUGUAAAGCCCUUUCGGCAGUGAAGAAAUCGGCGGGGCGAAUAACCCUGCUGGAUGACGGUACCUGCAGAAGAAGCACCGGCUAACUACGUG
rnacentral:rRNA from 1 species